CAAAGUGUAGCUAAGCUAGUUCAAAGCAUCUCACUUACACCGAGAAGACAUCCGUGCAAAUCGGGUCACCUUGA
rnacentral:tRNA from 1 species